CAUUUCACUGUAAGGUCUACUACACCUGUUGUAUUCAUCAUUUCACUGUGAGGUCUACUACACCUGUUGUAUUCAGCAUUUCACUGUGAGGUCUACUACACCUGUUGUAUUCAGCAUUUCACUGUGAGGUCUACUACACCUGUUGUAUUCAGCAUUUCACUGUAAGGUCUACUACACCUGUUGUAUUCAGCAUUUCACUGUAAGGUCUACUACACCUGUUGUAUUCAGCAUUCCACUGUAAGGUCUACUACACCUGUUGUAUUCAGCAUUCCACUGUAAGGUCUACUAC